GAAGUUCAGAUCUCUUUCUCCUAUCCUAAGCUCUCCAAGCUAUCAAGUAUGCCUUCUCUUCAAUUGUAUUACAAUGGUAGAAGAGGUCUCAAGAAGGUUUGCCUCUAAAAUUAUACAAAACCCUAAUAAAUAGCCUAACAUGCGGCCAAGAACUUAUGGUGCAAUAACUUGGAGUUUUGGGUAAAACUUGUGAUUUCCUUUAAUGUUGUUCUCGUGGAUGGCUUGCCGUCGAUCGGCAUCGAUAGUGCUCUGUUGAUCGAUUGUGUAAGUGAUCUAUCGAUCGAUGUUUAUCCUCAAUAAUCGAUCCGCCUUAGUGAUUUCAGCAUAACUCUCAAAAAGGUUCCAAAAUACUC
rnacentral:lncRNA from 1 species